UACGUAGGCAGCAAGCGUUGUUCGGAGUUACUGGGCGUAAAGGGUGUGUAGGCGGUUGUUUAAGUUUGGUGUGAAAUCCUCCCGGCUCAACUGGGAGGGUGCGCUGAAUACUGAAUGACUUCGAGUGGCGGGAGAGGAGAGUGGAAUUCCUGGUGUAGCGGUGAAAUGCGUAGAGAUCGUAAGGAAGACCAGUGGCGAAGGCGAGUUUCUGGACGGUAACUGACGCUGAGGCACGAAGGCCAGGGGAGCAAACGGG
rnacentral:rRNA from 1 species